rnacentral:lncRNA from 1 species
ACACAACGACAUGGUGUGAGAAAGGCCUCGUUGGUGGUUGAUGGGCAUCAGCCCAUGGAAUCAAGGAAACCCUGGGGUUAGGGGCACUAGUGUAGGAAGGCCAUACUGUCCCCACCCAUCGCAAAGGGUUCUGCUCAGAGCCCCUUUGACCAUGGCCUGUCAGAAUGACCUUUUUCUAUUCUGUAUACAGUAUGGGGGCACUGUGUCUUUGUAGAACUCCCGUCUUUGUCCUGCUGUAGGGUAAUACUGUGUGGAGCUCACCCAUCCAUUGGAUAGUGACCAGGGUAACCAAGCUAACAAUGCCAUGGUUGAGCAAAGCCACAAGCAGUGUCUUCACAGAAGGCACUCAGCUUUUCCAGAUGCUUCUGAGAAGAUGAGACAAGUGGGGACUGGCACCUUCAAGGAGACAAGCAAGGCCACCUGAGGGUGCUUUGUGCCCAAGCCGAGCAGCCCCAUCGCUGGAUUUGUCAGUGGGUCACCUACUGCGCUUCUCGGAAGGCAUGGCAGCUGUUGAGUACAGCUCUCCGUCAUCUCACGCACCGUCAUCAGGAUUAAGCAGCAAGAACAUUUUCAGAGACUGACUUUGAGAAUAAGCAAUUGUGCACAAGAGUAAAUAUUGAAUCCUGGCAGCCUGUUAGCAAAGACUUAAAAAUGAACCGCAAAUCUAAUUUCCUAAGCCU